rnacentral:rRNA from 1 species
UACGUAGGUGGCAAGCGUUGUCCGGAUUUACUGGGCGUAAAGGAUGCGUAGGCGGAUAUUUAAGUGGGAUGUGAAAUACCCGGGCUCAACUUGGGUGCUGCAUUCCAAACUGGAUAUCUAGAGUGUGGGAGAGGAAAAUGUAAUUCCUAGUGUAGCGGUGAAAUGCGUAGAGAUUAGGAAGAACACCAGUGGCGAAGGCGAUUUUCUGGACCAUAACUGACGCUGAGGCAUGAAAGCGUGGGGAGCAAACAGG